UACGUAGGGGGCAAGCGUUGUCCGGAUUUAUUGGGCGUAAAGGGCGCGUAGGCGGCCACGCGUGUCUUUCGUGAAAUCCCUCGGCUUAUGAGGACGUGCGGAAGAAACUGCGAGGCUUGAGUCCGGGAGAGGGGGGUGGAAUUCCCAGUGUAGCGGUGAAAUGCGUAGAUAUCAGGAGGAACACCGAUGGCGAAGGCAGGUCUCUGGGCCAUAACUGACGCUGAGAAGCGAAAGCAUGGGGAGCGAACAGG
rnacentral:rRNA from 1 species